rnacentral:misc_RNA from 1 species
AUACAAAUUUAUUAAUGGGCUUCUACUAACCUGAAUUCACAGGACCAAAAAUAAUAUCUUUUAUAAAUGAAAAAUACUUUUUAAAAAGAAAAAUGUCCCUUCUGUAUAUGAUUUUUGGUUGAAGAUCUUCUAUAGCUUCCCUUGAGAAUUUGCAAAAAUGUCAAUUUAAUCUCAACUUUGGGAAAGAUGAACAUAAAAAAUCUCAGAUAAGAAAACUAACUUCCAAUAUGAAGCACACCAAGGAAAAGAAAGGAAAAUGGGAAAAUAUUAGAAGUGAAGGGGUAAUAAAUUGCAUCGUGUAAAGUGUUCAUUUGGUGAAACUUGCACCAAACACAAGUCAUGCAAGUAUUAGAGGAGGAUUAAACUUAGGAAUCAUAGUCAUAGUAGAAUUAUGAAAUUUAAGAAUUUUAUUAGGUUUACAAUUCUAUUUGGUUUAGAAUCUAUUAUUUAAUAAUUCUAUUCGAUUUAUUAUUAUUUUCCUAGUCUAAGUUUGUUUGGGACUCCUAAUUAGUACUGAUUUAGUGUUUAUUCUUUUAGGGUUUUCUAAUCCUAAUAUUUGUAGGUUUGCCGGUCUAUAAAUACCUAUGUCUAGGUAUAUUAUUUUUCGCUUUGAUUAUUAUGAUGUUGUUAUUGAGAAUUAUAUGAAGUUUUUGAUUGAGAAUUAGUUUAUCACAGAAUUUGUUUCUCUUCCUUUGAAUUUUGAAAAUUUGUUUCUCUUGGUCCCUUUGUCCUUUUUGUUCUACAUCAACAAGUGAGAUCAACAUAUAAGUUAGACACUAUAGAUAAUCCAAAAGUUUUAAAACUAUGAGUUAAUAAUGCGAGAUUAAUUUAAGACACACGCUAUCAAAAUAAAAUUAAAGGGUAAAUCACUAUUUGUAUUAGAUCAAACAUAAAAUACUUAAGGAUGGGGAAAAAAUAGACAAGAAACCAAUUGAUAGGCCCUUAAAUUUUUACCAGAUGCUUACUGAGAAGCGGGGGUAUUGAGGCAAAGAACAAGCAGCAACUAACUAACAUCAUAAGGCUUUGUACACAAAUGCAAAAGUACUCCUUUCCCCAUCUUUUUUCCUCUUUCCCCCUUUCUAACCAGAAGAUGUUUAAAUGAAGUGAAAAUACAGAUAAAGACUGCAUAAGAUGAUGAAAUAAAACCAGUUCAUACAUUUGUGUUGCACUUGAUGUUGCAAAAUUUUGAGACAGAUUUCCAUCAGAAAAACUUAAACUUCACUCACCGUAUGUCUUCACCCUUUGUAACA